rnacentral:rRNA from 5 species
UGUUUCGGCUAGGGGGCCAUCCCGGCUUACCAACCCGAUGCAAACUGCGAAUACCGGAGAAUGUUAUCACGGGAGACACACGGCGGGUGCUAACGUCCGUCGUGAAGAGGGAAACAACCCAGACCGCCAGCUAAGGUCCCAAAGUCAUGGUUAAGUGGGAAACGAUGUGGGAAGGCCCAGACAGCCAGGAUGUUGGCUUAGAAGCAGCCAUCAUUUAAAGAAAGCGUAAUAGCUCACUGGUCGAGUCGGCCUGCGCGGAAGAUGUAACGGGGCUAAACCAUGCACCGAAGCUGCGGCAGCGACACUGUGUGUUGUUGGGUAGGGGAGCGUUCUGUAAGCCUG